rnacentral:rRNA from 1 species
CCUCCUUUCUUCCUCCUUUAUUAAUAUUUUUCAAUUUUCUCUAUCCUUAACCAGCCAAUUCGCGUGAGGGAAGACGGUCCUAUGGAUUGUAAACCUCUUUUGUCGGGGAGCAAAAGACGCCACGUGUGGCGUUCCGAGAGUACCCGAAGAAAAAGCAUCGGCUAACUCCGUGCCAGCAGCCGCGGUAAUACGGAGGAUGCGAGCGUUAUCAGGAUUUAUUGGGUUGACAGGGUGCGCAGGAGGAAGAUCAAGUCAGCGGUAAAAUUGAGAGGCUCAAACUCUUCGAGCCGUUGAAACUGGUUUUCUUGAGUGAGCGAGAGGUAUGCGGAAUGCGUGGUGUAGCGGUGAAAUGCAUAGAGAUCACGCAGAACUCCGAUUGCGAAGGCAGCAUACCGGCGCUCAAAUGAAGCUCAUGCACGAAAGUGUGGGUAUCGAACAGGAUUAGAUAAAAUUGUAGUC